GACGAACGCUGGCGGCGUGCCUAACACAUGCAAGUCGAACGGAACUGUUUUGAAAGAUUUCUUCGGAAUGAAUUUGAUUUAGUUUAGUGGCGGACGGGUGAGUAACGCGUGAGUAACCUGCCUUCAAGAGGGGAAUAACAUUCUGAAAAGAAUGCUAAUACCGCAUGACAUAUCGGAACCACAUGGUUUUGAUAUCAAAGAUUUUAUCGCUUGAAGAUGGACUCGCGUCCGAUUAGUUAGUUGGUGAGGUAACGGCUCACCAAGACCGCGAUCGGUAGCCGGACUGAGAGGUUGAACGGCCACAGUGGGACUGAGACACGGCCCAGACUCCGACGGGAGGCAGCAGUGGGGGAUAUUGCGCAAUGGGGGCAACCCUGACGAAGCAACGCCGCGUGAAGGAUGAAGGUCUUCGGAUUGUAAACUUCUUUUAUUAAGGACGAAAAAUGACGGUACUUAAUGAAUAAGCUCCGGCUAACUACGUG
rnacentral:rRNA from 1 species